rnacentral:rRNA from 1 species
CUGGCGGCGUGCCUAACACAUGCAAGUCGAACAGAGUGAAACGCUGAAUUGAAGGUAGCUUGCUACUGAAUUUUCUUGUUUCACUUAGUGGCGGACGGGUGAGUAACGCGUGAGUAACCUGCCUUACAGAGGGGGGACAACAGUUGGAAACGACUGCUAAUACCGCAUAAUGUAUCGAGAAGGCAUCUUCUUGAUACCAAAGGAGCAAUCCGCUGUAAGAUGGACUCGCGUCUGAUUAGAUAGUUGGUGGGGUAACGGCCUACCAAGUCGACGAUCAGUAGCCGGACUGAGAGGUUGAACGGCCACAUUGGGACUGAGACACGGCCCAGACUCCUACGGGAGGCAGCAGUGGGGGAUAUUGCACAAUGGAGGAAACUCUGAUGCAGCAACGCCGCGUGAGGGAAGAAGGUUUUCGGAUUGUAAACCUCUGUUUUUAGUGAAGAAUAAAUGACGGUAGCUAAAGAGGAAGCCACGGCUAACUACGUG